rnacentral:tRNA from 1 species
ACCUGGGUGGCUCAGUGGGUUGAGCGUCUGACUUCGGCUCAGGUCAUGAUCUCACGGUCUGUGAGUUCGAGCCCCACAUCAGGCU